GGAUUCCCUUUUCCUGAAGAGGAGUGGAGGCUGCUUCUGGACAGAAAUGGCUGUUCCAUUUGCCCAGGACCCCAGUUCUACAAGAGAGAAUGUGAAAAGAGGAAGGAAAAAGGAAGAUGUGGAGAGGAAUGAUAAAUCCAAGCUGUUAAAUUGAGACAGAAUUAUAUUGCAUUUAUACUGAAGAGCUUGACCACUUAGAAAUGGAUACUUUGCCUGGAUAUAAUCCUGCCUGGCUAAAUCCCCAAGGAUAAAGGUGACUAAGAUUUGCUGCAAGUGGAGCCGGUGACUGAAGCUUUAUAAUGAUUUUCCAGGACAUGACUGUCAAUAGCUUUACCUAAAUAGACAUUUUAGUAAGCACACUGAAAACAUUUGUAGCUUUUUAUUGUGAAGGUUCUGGUCACAAAACAGUGCAUACAACUCAAGUGGCAGCCAGCUUAUCCUCCACCUGCAAGAAAGUACAAAAAUGUGAGGUCAUCAAAGUGAAUACAGGAUUUGUUAUUUCCACACCUGAUAGGACACAUUGCUAAUAUUUUAUUUCACAAGGGAAUUCUGAUUUGAAACCUUGGGUACUUAUUGUGCACAUUUAAUUGUCAUUUA